rnacentral:lncRNA from 1 species
UCACUGCCCCUCAGGGGGCAGGGGGCUGGUGAUUCCUGAGGGAGCCCUGCCCCCUUCCAGGGUGAAUUUUCCUAAGUCACCAUGGAGAACCAGCAGCCCAGAAUCAGUGCCCUGCCAGGCAGAAUUGCUUGGCCAUAACAAAGAUCCAUUGCCUUUCUGAUGACACCCAGCACCUCGGAUUCUGUAUACACGGGAGGUGAUUUAAGCAUCUUACUGCCACCCUGAAAUCUGGGGUCCUUUAUCCUGGCAGGUCAUCUAGACCCGUAACGCCCACUUCAGAAUGGGAGGGAGGAUGUCUGCUGCCCUGUCGUCUCCACACCCGAGGAAUGUCCGUGUGUGUGUGUGUGUGGUGUGCACAGCGGGCUGCACACAGCGGGCUCCACGGUGCUCGAAUGGAGGCCCUAAUGUGAAUGGAGACUAGCCUGCUGGUAGAGACCUUGGCAGUGACCGCUGUGGGCAAUGAGCCAUGGGCCAACAAUAUUCAAUGCUGUGUACCUGAUGGAUGGUUACUGUCUGAGACUGAGGCUUUUUGGGCCAGGAGUAAAAGGACUUGGUUUGUACUUGAUUGCGUCCUGUGGAUGCUUGCCUACCAACUGACUCAUCCUGACGUGCCAAAGGUCCUGGCUUUCCCCUGUGUGGGUAAGGGAAGAAGAGAGUUCUCCAUGUUUGUCCCACAGAGCAUCACUAUCAAACAGUUCACUGUGGACUCCUCGUAGCAGAAGUACAGUAGGGGACAGCAAGUGUCAGCUCCAUCAGGACCCCUGAUUUAAUUAUUUACUGUGGAACCAUUGUCCUGAGUCAGGAGGAUAGAUGAGGAAAGAAUGAGAGCGUGGCUGGCAUCGCUUCAUGAUUACAUUCUGGGAAAGAUCUUGCCUGUUAACCUCUAGAGAAGGAGGGACGAUACAGACAAUGAAGACUAUAGCAGACUGAAUUACUCUCUGAGAUGAGGACUUUGCUAUUGCCAUUGCAGAACCACUGGUGGAAGUUGUUGUUAAACAGUGGGUCUUGCAUGCAAGCUCUACAGUUAUGCACAGUAUUUCCAUGACAUCCCAAGCCAUGAGGUUCAUGCUGCCAUAUCCCCCUGUUUAACAAGUGUGGAAACUGAUUUGUAGGAACAAACCAUCCCAUAUGCAACCAGACAGCUCCAUUCUGUUUUCACCGGCCCUGUGAGAUCUACACACUCAGUUCUGGGUGAGAAGACACAGAAUGGACUCACAAUUGCUGAUGUAUAGGUUCUAAUGUUUUCUAUUGUGGACACGGGACACCCAGACUGAGAACCAAUGGCUCCAGUCUGAUUUAAACAUGGGUCCGUGCUCACACACUCAAUACCUACCCUCUGUGCUCACAAGUCCUGUGAGAAAUGUAAAACUAAAUGGACAAAUAUCAACCUUUUUAUUAUCUUUGCUGUUGUGCCCUCCCUGGAUGGGUGCUGGCACAUGAUGUCUUGCCUGCUGGUCCGUGGUUGCACUCUCACCAUGUGGAUGGAGCUCGGCAGCUGAAAAUGCAUUCUUCCACCAAGAUGAUUUACACAGCCUAGCUGGAUCAGGAGCCCCCUAAUAAGCUGCUUCAGAUUGUAAUAUAGACACAGUAAUGUAUGCCUGCAGGAUGAGUCCCACCUUCUUCAUUAGUCUUGAGGUUUGAGAUUCCCUGUUUGUGUCUGCAGGAUUCAGAUAGUAAUGGAUAUCCUGCAAGUCGGCUUCGUAGAGUCUCCCUUGAAAGUGGACCUCAUGAUCUAGCCUUUAUGUCCGUGGAUUGACACUGUGAUGGAUUCCCCCCAAGUUCAUUUAGAUAUUCUCUCUUAUUCAUAAAUGUCACGGUCAGCUCUGUUCUUAUAGAUACCAGAAUGGAUACCCCUAAGCUGAUGUAUAUACACCCUUCCUCGGUUGUGAGAUUCCUGCUCUGGUGGUUGUAGUCAUAAGAUAUACAUCGUUGCGUACACCUUGGUUGUGGGCACGCACACUACUGUUGAAUUACCACCUUGUCCAAGUGGAUGGAUGCCCUCAAUGGGAUUGGCACUUUCUCCAUUGCUCCUGCACUCUGUUAUCAGCACUUCGGGUUCAUAAUGUACACACAGCAAUGGAUUUUCUGCAGCUGAUUUUCUAUAUUCUGUUUUCUUCGGGUAAGCAGAAACAGAUGCCUUCCUCACUGGUCACCAGGUUCAAGGUCCCUCAUAUGUGUCAGGUGCAUAGUCACCAACAAAGGCCAACUUCACAUCAAUGGGUGGAUCGUACCUCGGCCUAAGCUCCAGGAUUGAUUGUGCUGUUAGAGUCACAGCUACAACCGGCUCAGGGAACCCAGUGGAAGAGGAGGUGGAGUGUGAGAGCCAAUUGGAAUGGAAGACAGUGAGGAAACAAGGCCUUCGAGACACAAGAGGACUGCUGAGCUCACAAAGACUGAGGCAGCACCCUCAGGACCUGCACAGGUCUAAGCUUGAUGCGAUCUGAGUACUGAGAGGGCAACUGGACACAAUUCUAUAUUGAUAACCCAGAAGCUUUCUCCAGUUGAUAAACUCUUUCAAAGGAAAAACUUGUUUUCUACCAUGGAGUGACACUGGAUAUAGAAACUACCGUUAACAGCAGACUCCAUGGCUCAGACUUCCAAUACAAUAUGAACUCAGUUGCAAUUUUUUGCAAGGUUUUUCGACUCAUAGUUCUUUGUCUGGGUACUUUUUCACCCUACAGAGAAUUUCUGUAUAUAUUAUCGUUUCUGAUUCUAGUGUUUUGAAUUUUCGCUGGGUCUAAAUAUCUCUGUCUCAGUGUCAGUAUGUGUUUCUCAUGAUUUUUCUUUGCUUCUCUUUUUCCUAUUCUUUGCUUGUAUUCCCUGGUUUGUGUUUGAGUGUCUGGGAACUCUGAGGGUCUGGUUGGUGAUAUUGUUGUUCUUCCUAUGGGGUUGAAAACCCCUUCAGCUCCUUCAGCCUUUCACUAAGUCCUCCAUUAUUAUGAUUCCUAUGCUCAGUCCAGUGGUUGGAUGUGAGCCCCCCCCCCCCUCUGCAUUUGUCAGGCUCCGGCAGAGCCUCUAAGGAGAUAGCUAUAUUAGGCUCUUGUCAGCUUUGUUUGUUUUUAUUCUGUCUUCUCUAUACUGUUUAUUUUAGAUAACUGUGUUUAUUCUAAUGUAUGAAUGAAUAAAUGGGUGUGUGUUUGGGUGGGUGGGGAAUUGGGGAGGGUGGGGGUGGAUGUGGGAGGGGAAACUGUAACACAAAUACAUUGUAUAAAAGUACAUUUUAAUAAAUGUAUUUCUUCUAUGACUAA